rnacentral:rRNA from 1 species
GGUACACGAGCGGCGAACGGGUGAGUAACACGUGAGCAACCUGCCCCUGACUCUGGGAUAAGCGGUGGAAACGCCGUCUAAUACCGGAUACGACCCGCCACCUCAUGGUGGAGGGUGGAAAGUUUUUCGGUCAGGGAUGGGCUCGCGGCCUAUCAGCUUGUUGGUGGGGUAACGGCCUACCAAGGCGAUUACGGGUAGCCGGCCUGAGAGGGCGACCGGCCACACUGGGACUGAGACACGGCCCAGACUCCUGCGGGAGGCAGCAGUGGGGAAUAUUGCGCAAUGGGCGAAAGCCUGACGCAGCGACGCCGCGUGGGGGAUGACGGCCUUCGGGUUGUAAACCUCUUUUACCACCAACGCAGGCUCGAAGUUUUCUUCGGGUUGACGGUAGGUGGGGAAUAAGGACCGGCUAACUACGUGCCAGCAGCCGCGGUAAUACGUAGGGUCCGAGCGUUGUCCGGAAUUAUUGGGCGUAAAGAGCUCGUAGGCGGCGUGUCGCGUCUGCUGUGAAAGACCGGG